GCGGCGCUUUUGUCCCACUGCAAAUAUACCGCGGAACAAAUGUUAGCAUAAUGAAAAGUCUUAAAGUCGCAUUUAGCGACCCUUCGGCUAAGUUACGUGACGUUAGUGAGGUCGCGUUUAACGCGCUCUUUCUCCGUUAGUUCGUUCAGGUUUCUGCCGAAGCUCCGUCUGUUUGUCGCCGUGAAGCCAAACGUACUUAAACGGUUCAGGAAACACCGAGCAGACGGUUGAGCAAAUAUGUGGCCCGCGAACUGCGUGUCCAGAGUCAGAAGAGCCUGAGAAGGUGAGAGGAGACGGAGGCUCUCCACCCCUGAUGAGACACCAGGACAGAUCCAGGACAGUGUGAGGAGGAGGAGCCAGCAGCAGCUGAGAGAUGCAGAGGAGAGCAGACAGCUCUCUGUAGUUGAGGGACUGCUAAAAACACUGAAAACACUUUUAUAUUUGCUUCCUGUAUCUGCAGAAGCAUCUCCAACACAACCUGUAACAGCUGCAUACAGGAACCACUCACUGCUGUUCGUCCUGCAGGAUCUGAGAGGGAACCAAGGAAAAAUAAGGGAACCACAGACAACUUUGAUAAUGCUUUGAUUUAUCCAGAAUAUAUGUAGUUCAAAUGUUGUUUUCAUCAGUGGGAUUGUGCUGGUUUCAGUGGGGAAAGUGUGCAGCUCAUUUAGACACAAAGUUGUCCCUUCAUAAGAUAAGAUAAGAUAACCUUUAUUAGUCCCACACGUGGGAAAUUUGUAAAGUGUGUCAGUAUUUUCUAAAGAUGUUUCUGUAUCAUCUCUCUGCUGUUAGAGCCUCCAAACAUCAGCCUGCUUAUGCUCUCACAUCUGCAACAUCUGAAGUAAAUUAUGCUGCACAGUUUUGUCAUCAAUAAGAGAAGAUUUACUGCAUCAGUUUGUCUUCAUUUCAUCUGAAACACACACGGAUCAAAUCUCUGACUUUAUUUUUGGGAUAUUGCCCUUAAAUGUAACUAAAGCUUUCACACAGGGCUCGUAAAUGAUAUGAAAUAGAAAUAAAUACCUUGAA